CGGUGAAUAGCGCAGUUUGGUAGCGCAUCUGGUUUGGGACCAGAGGGUUGGGGGUUCGAAUCCCUCUUCACCGACCA
rnacentral:tRNA from 1 species